GUGACAGACCAACUCUGCUCCUGUUGUCGAGAGCUGGUGCAGUCAUAUCUGUUGGGUGCUCAAAACUGAUCAUAUUUUUGUUCUACUUGCUGAAUGAGUGGAAAGGUUGGGCACUUGCCAGCAACAGCUUUAUAAAUCAGAUGUCCAUUCUCCAGAUUUAGCAAAACCCUGUUGCCCAGAACACAUUCUCCCCUAUCUGCUGACGAGCUGCAAGAAAUCUGAUCCCUCAAGAUCAAGGACGCCUACAUCCCCCAAAACAUCCUUGCUGGCCAUCACAUUGUCCUGAACCUGACCACCAGAAAACAGCUGCCUCCUUACGGUCUGCACUAUUGUCCACGACCCCACCUCCCUGAUCAUCAUCAUCAUCAUCAUCACUGUCACUGCCAGCUUUUUGUUCUUGUGGGAUCAAAAGUAUUUCAAUCUACAACUUGACUUAUUUCUGACCUAAUAUCUAACUUAAAUAUUUUAA